GAUGAACGCUGGCGGCGUGCCUAACACAUGCAAGUCGAACGAAGCUUGACGGAUGAUUUCUUCGGAAUGAAACCAGAUAUGACUUAGUGGCGGACGGGUGAGUAACACGUGAGCAACCUGCCUUUCAGAGGGGGAUAACGGCUGGAAACGGUCGCUAAUACCGCAUGAUGUGUUCGGAUGGCAUCAUCUGAACAUCAAAGAUUUAUCGCUGAAAGAUGGGCUCGCGUCUGAUUAGAUAGUUGGUGGGGUAACGGCCCACCAAGUCUACGAUCAGUAGCCGGACUGAGAGGUUGAACGGCCACAUUGGGACUGAGAUACGGCCCAGACUCCUACGGGAGGCAGCAGUGGGGAAUAUUGCACAAUGGGGGAAACCCUGAUGCAGCAACGCCGCGUGAAGGAUGACGGUUUUCGGAUUGUAAACUUCUUUUCUUAGUGACGAAGACAGUGACGGUAGCUAAGGAAUAAGCAUCGGCUAACUACGUG
rnacentral:rRNA from 1 species